AAGUGAAGAAGCAAUAAUGCAAUUAGUUUCGACCUAAUCAUAGAUAAACAACUUAUCCUCACUUU
rnacentral:tRNA from 1 species